CUGGCGCCCCGGGAAGCCCGCGGGGCAGCGCCUUCCACACCGCAGUUCUAGGCAAGCACUAAGGCCGCGGACCCGGGAGAAACGCCCAGACCCCCGCCUGGAACGCAGUGGAGUCCUGCGCCGCCUCGCCCCAUUCCCCUGUCGCCGCUGACCCCAGAGUUGCUUGGGUUUCUGCUCGAGGACCCGCGAACACAUAGUUUGAACAUUUUCAAAACUAGUUUUAAGAAGGAUCAUAGCGGUCCUGGCUUGCCUCUCCGGUCUCAGAGACACCGCCUGUUCACAAGAGUUUGAAGAAGUCCACUCUUUUCCUGGCCAGAGCUGGGUGUCAAGACUACCUUUCUGGAGUCCUUAGAGAGACUCCCGGAAGAGUAUCUGAAGUUUCCCAAAGCCUCCAGGCCCUGCCUUCUGCCUGCACAUUCUGCCCUGAUUUCCGGAACCUGGAAGCCUAGGCAGGCAGUGGGGAACUCUGACUCGCCUGUGCUCUGGAGCUUGAUCCGAAAGCUUCCACAGUGAGGACUGCUCCGUGGGGGUAAGAGAGCACCAGGCACUGAGGCCUGGGAGUUCCACAGACCAACACCCCUGCUCCUGGCGGCUCCCACCCGGGACUUAGACCCUCAGGUCCCUAAUAUCCCGGAGGUGCUCUCAAUCAGAAAGGUCCUGCUCCGCUUCGCAGUGGAAUGGAACGGAUUUAGAAGCCUGCAGUAGGGGAGUGGGGAGUGGAGAGAGGGAGCCCAGAGUUACAGACGGCGGCGAGAGGAAGGAGGGGCGUCUUUAUUUUUUUAAGGCCCCAAAGAGUCUGAUGUUUACAAGACCAGAAAUGCCACGGCCGCGUCCUGGCAGAGAAAAGGCUGAAAUGGAGGACCGGCGCCUUCCUUAUAAGCUCGUUGGGGCCUAAGCCAGUACCGACCUGGUAGAAAAAGCAACCACGAAGCUAGAGAGAGAGCCAGAGGAGGGAAGAGAGCGCCAGACGAAGGUGAAAGCGAACCACGCAGAGAAAUGCAGGCAAGGGAGCAAGGCGGCAGUUCCCGGAACAAACGUGGCAGAGGGCAAGACGGGCACUCACAGACAGAGGUUUAUGUAUUUUUAUUUUUUAAAAUCUGAUUUGGUGUUCCAUGAGGAAAAGGGAAAAUCUAGGGAACGGGAGUACAGAGAGAAUAAUCCGGGUCCUAGCUCGCCACAUGAACGCCCAGAGAACGCUGGAAAAACCUGAGCGGGUGCCGGGGCAGCACCCGGCUCGGGUCAGCCACUGCCCCACACCGGGCCCACCAAGCCCCGCCCCUCGCGGCCACCGGGGCUUCCUUGCUCUUCUUAUCAUCUCCAUCUUUAUGAUGAGGCUUGUUAACAAGACCAGAGAGCUGGCCAAGCACCUCUAUCUCAGCCGCGCCCGCUCAGCCGAGCAGCGGUCGGUGGGGGGACUGGGAGGCGCUAAUUAAUUGAUUCCUUUGGACUGUAAAAUAUGGCGGCGUCUACACGGAACCCAUGGACUCAUAAACAAUAUAUCUGUUGGGCG
rnacentral:lncRNA from 1 species